GUUGUUCUAGUGGUAUAUGAAGGAGGCUGGGAUAACUAGCUUGAAAGAAAUUCAGUCUAGUUAUAGACAUCUUUGGCAUUAAUCUGAUGUUUACUAGUGAUAUCUCAUGCUAGGCAGUUAUGCUUUGCUUCUAGGGGCUUCUCUUUUUAAAACAAAAGAAAGCUCUUUUCGUUUUCUGUGUGCUGCAUGCUCCAGUGUGUGUGUUUACACCAUCGGUUCUUCUCCCUCUAGAGAUUAGCAUAACUCCCUUUGCUGUUGGAUUGUUAUUUUGAGCAAUAUGUUUUGGAAAGGUUGGUUUUCAUCAUGAGUGCACGCAAAUCAUCAGAUGCAUCUGCUUGCUCCUCUUCAGAAAUAUCUGUGAAAGAGUUUCUAGCCAAAGCCAAAGAAGACUUUUUGAAAAAAUGGGAGAAUCCAACUCAG
rnacentral:lncRNA from 1 species